UACCAGCACCCCGAGUGGUCGGGACGUUUAUUGGGCCUAAAGCAUCCGUAGCCGGUUCUACAAGUCUUCCGUUAAAUCCACCUGCUUAACAGAUGGGCUGCGGAAGAUACUAUGGAGCUAGGAGGCGGGAGAGGCAAGCGGUACUCGAUGGGUAGGGGUAAAAUCCGUUGAUCCAUUGAAGACCACCAGUGGCGAAGGCGGCUUGCCAGAACGCGCUCGACGGUGAGGGCUGAAAGCUGGGGGAGCAAACCGG
rnacentral:rRNA from 1 species